CCUACGAGGGACAGCAGUAGGGAAUAUUGCUCAAUGGGGGAAACCCUGAAGCAGCAACGCCGCGUGGGGGAUGAAGGAUUUCGGAGUGUAAACUCCUUUUGUUAGGGAAGAUAAUGACGGUAUCUAACGAAUAAGCACCGGCUAACUACGUGCCAGCAGCCGCGGUAAUACGGAGGGUGCAAGCGUUACGAGGAAUCACUGGGCGUAAAGAGCGCGUAGGCGGGAUAGCAAGUCAGAUGUGAAAUCCUAUGGCUUAACCAUAGAACUGCAUUUGAAAUUGUUAUUCUGGAGUAUGGGAGAGGUAGGUGGAAUGCUUGGUGUAGGGGUAAAAUCCGUAGAGAUCAAGAGGAAUACUCAUUGCGAAGGCGACCUACUAGAACAUAACUGACGCUGAUGCGCGAAAGCGUGGGGAGCAAACAGGAUUAGAUACCCGAGUAGUC
rnacentral:rRNA from 1 species